rnacentral:rRNA from 1 species
UACGGGGGGGGCUAGCGUUGUCCGGAAUCAUGGGCGUAAAGCGCGUGGAGGCGGGCCGGUAAGUCCGCCGGGAAAGUCGGGGGCCCAACCCCGGGAGGCGGGGGGAUACUGCUCAGCUCGAGUCCGGAAGAGGAGUGUGGAAUUCCUGGUGUAGCGGUGAAAUGCGCAGAUAUCAGGAGGAACACCAAUGGCGAAGGCAGCACUCUGGGACGGUACUGACGCUGAUGCGCGAAAGCUGGGGGAGCAAACCGG